GCCAGACUCCUACGGGAGGCAGCAGUGGGGGAUAUUGCACAAUGGGGGGAACCCUGAUGCAGCGACGCCGCGUGGGUGAAGGAGCGUUUCGGCGCGUAAAGCCCUAUCGGCAGGGAAGAAGGAGGACGGUACCUGAAGAAGAAGCCCCGGCUAACUACGUGCCAGCAGCCGCGGUAAUACGUAGGGGGCAAGCGUUAUCCGGAUUUACUGGGUGUAAAGGGGGCGCAGACGGCGAUGCAAGCCAGGAGUGAAAGCCCGGGGCCCAACCCCGGGACUGCUCUUGGAACUGCGUGGCUGGAGUGCAGGAGGGGCAGGCGGAAUUCCUGGUGUAGCGGUGAAAUGCGUAGAUAUCAGGAGGAACACCGGCGGCGAAGGCGGCCUGCUGGACUGAAACUGACGUUGAGGCUCGAAAGCGUGGGGAGCAAACAGGAUUAGAUACCCUUGUAA
rnacentral:rRNA from 1 species